CAUUAUAAGCAGAAGCAUCCCGCUUCUCACCUUACAACCUGUUGUUCGUAAGGUUAUCAAUGUAAACAAUAUUUUUAUGUUGUUAGCGUUUAUUAGCGGGUGUUUAUGCACCCGCUUUUAAUAUUUUUU
rfam:Desulfotomaculum ferrireducens strain GSS09, complete genome.